CUUGUUCUUUGCUUUCGCCGCCUGGGAGAAGUGGUUUGCCCGCGUCCAUUUCAUCAAUUACGAGCUGCUGAAGCAGCGCACGGUUCUGGGCGCCUGUGUCAUGGCCGCCACAC